rnacentral:rRNA from 1 species
AUUGAACGCUGGCGGCAUGCCUAACACAUGCAAGUCGAACGGCAGCAUGCUCUGUAGCAAUACAGAGUGAUGGCGAGUGGCUGACGGGUGAGUAAUACGUAGGGAUCUGCCUUGAAGAGGGGGACAACCCGGGGAAACUCGGGCUAAUACCGCAUGAUACUCUAAGGAGGAAAGGGUUGGGGCAAGCCAGUCGUUUUAAGAGGAACCUACGUCCGAUUAGCUAGUUGGUAAGGUAAAGGCUUACCAAGGCAGAGAUCGGUAGCUGGUCGUGAGAGGAUGACCAGCCACACUGGGACUGAGACACGGCCCAGACUCCUACGGGAGGCAGCAGUGGGGAAUAUUGGACAAUGGGGGCAACCCUGAUCCAGCGAUGCCGCGUGUGUGAAGAAGGCCUUCGGGUCGUAAAGCACUUUAGUUGGGGAAGAAGGCUUGCGGUUGAAUAGGCCGCAAGAUUGACGGUACCCAAAGAAUAAGCACCGGCUAACUCUGUGCCAGCAGCCGCAGUAA